AAUAAUACCUGGCAGGGGAGAUACCAUGAUCACGAAGGUGGUUUUCCCAAGUCAAGGCUUAUCUGUUGCACGGAUUGGGAAAUAGAGGCUCACAAAGGUCAAGUUAUUCCUUAAGAUCUCACAGCCUUUCCUCCUAACCACUAUGUAAUAAUACUUCUGUUUU
rnacentral:snRNA from 1 species